rnacentral:rRNA from 1 species
AUGAGAGUUUGAUCCUGGCUCAGAACGAACGCUGGCGGCGUGCCUAACACAUGCAAGUCGAACGGAGUCAUAUUGAAGUAGCAAUACGGAUAUAUGACUUAGUGGCGGACGGGUGAGUAACACGUAGGUAACCAACCCUCAAGCGGGGGACAACCCAGGGAAACUUGGGCUAAUACCGCAUAAGACCACGGCCUGGGAUGGCUGAGGUAAAAGGAG